rnacentral:rRNA from 1 species
GACAGAGGGUGCAAACGUUGUUCGGAAUUACUGGGCGUAAAGCGCGUGUAGGCGGUGCGGUAAGUCGGGUGUGAAAGCCCUGGGCUCAACCCAGGAAGUGCAUUCGAUACUACCGUACUAGAGUCCCGGAGAGGUUGGUGGAACUCUCGGUGUGGAGGUGAAAUUCGUAGAUAUCGAGAAGAACACCGGUGGCGAAGGCGGCCAACUGGACGGUGACUGACGCUGAGACGCGAAAGCGUGGGGAGCAAACAGG